rnacentral:ncRNA from 1 species
UGAUAGCGUUGAAGCGCGAGGUUGCUGCCACUGUAUUGGCAGGUUUUCCGUGGAGCGAAUGUCAAGUUAGGAAACUGGCGACAA